rnacentral:rRNA from 1 species
CCUACGGGGGGCAGCAGUGGGGAAUAUUGCACAAUGGGCGAAAGCCUGAUGCAGCAACGCCGCGUGAGCGAUGAAGGCCUUCGGGUUGUAAAGCUCUGUCUUCGCUGACGAAACCUGACGGUAAGCGAGGAGGAAGCCACGGCUAACUACGUGCUAGCAGCCGCGGUAAUACGUAGGGGGCUAGCGUUAUCCGGAAUUACUGGGCGUAAAGGGUGCGUAGGCGGCCCUUCAAGUCAGAGGUGAAAGGCUACGGCUCAACCGUAGUAAGCCUUUGAAACUGUAGGGCUUGAGUGCAGGAGAGGAGAGUGGAAUUCCCAGUGUAGCGGUGAAAUGCGUAGAUAUUGGGAGGAACACCAGUUGCGAAGGCGGCUCUCUGGACUGUAACUGACGCUGAGGCACGAAAGCGUGGGGAGCGAACAGGAUUAGAUACCCGAGUAGUC